rnacentral:rRNA from 1 species
UACGUAGGGUGCGAGCGUUGUCCGGAAUUAUUGGGCGUAAAGAGCUUGUAGGCGGUCUGUCGCGUCUGCUGUGAAAAUCCGGGGCUCAACCCCGGACUUGCAGUGGGUACGGGCAGACUAGAGUGUGGUAGGGGAGACUGGAAUUCCUGAUGUAGCGGUGAAAUGCGCAGAUAUCAGGAGGAACACCGAUGGCGAAAGGCAGGUCUCUGGGCCACUACUGACGCUGAGAAGCGAAAAGCGUGGGGGAGCGAACAGG